GACUGAGAUUGCCCACCCCUGGGCUAGAAGAUUUUCUUCUUCUUCACCAAGGAAAGAAUUUCACGAUCAUCCACUUUAGUCAUAUUCUGUGGACCUUAAGGGUUUUUUUUUUGGUGUUGCUGACCUGUCGAGAUCAAUCCUCUCAACACCCCCUCAGUAGAUGUCUCCAUUUUCACUCAACUAGACCCCUUAAUAAGGAUGGAGGUUAAUGGAAGGAGUUAUUAAAAAGUCCUCACCUUCCUCCUGGGACCGCUAAAGAGGAAUUAUAUGAAACUAAGUGCACUUACAGCCCCAGACAAGACCUGCGGGAAGAUUCCUCGGAGGUUUCAAGUGGAAAAAAAAAAAGAAAAUUACAGGUUGACGGUGUGGUGGUCCGGGAUACGAGACCUGGAGAAAGAGAUAGGGAUGGGGAGAGAAGUUAAGGAACGAUGUCACAGCUGACAGGG